GCCACAUCAGGGCUGGGGGGCGGGGGAAGACGGUGGGGGGGGGCGUUGGGCUGAAGUAUUGGGCGGAAAGUGUGAGUAGGCGGUUGGGCACGUAGGGAGGGAAAACUCAGGGCUUAACCCUGAGCCUGCUUCCGAUACGGGCAGACUAGAGGUAUGCAGGGGAGAACGGAAUUCCUGGUGUAGCGGUGAAAUGCGCAGAUAUCAGGAGGAACACCGGUGGCGAAGGCGGUUCUCUGGGCAUUACCUGACGCUGAGGAGCGAAAGUGUGGGGAGCGAACAGGAUUAGAUGCCCUUGUAGUC
rnacentral:rRNA from 1 species